GAGUCGCUAGCUCAGUUGGUAGAGCACCGGUCUUUUAAACCGGUGGUCCCGGGUUCGACCCCCGGGCGACUCACCA
rnacentral:tRNA from 1 species